AUUGAACGCUGGCGGAAUGCUUUACACAUGCAAGUCGAGCGGCAGCGCGGGGGCAACCCCUGGCGGCGAGCGGCGAACGGGUGAGUAACAUAUCGGAACGUACCCCGUCGUGGGGGAUAACACAGCGAAAGCUGUGCUAAUACCGCAUACGACCUGAGGGUGAAAGCGGGGGAUCGCAAGACCUCGCGCGAUGGGAGCGGCCGAUAUCGGAUUAGCUUGUUGGUGAGGUAAAGGCUCACCAAGGCGACGAUCCGUAGCUGGUCUGAGGAGGACGACCAGCCACACUGGAACUGAGACACGGUCCAGACUCCGUACGGGAGGCAGCAGGUGGGGUAAUUUUGGGAACAAGU
rnacentral:rRNA from 1 species